AUCUGUCACACUUUCUCACAUCUUGUAGGUUACUUUAAGGCUUUCUGGGUUGGUUACUCACCUUCCUGUCUAAACAGAUACUCUGUCAGAGUGAAGCAGAAGUUGGAUGCCACAAAUGCUGACAUGAAGCAGAGUUAGAGUAUUUUAUGUUAUCAUCAACUUGUAAGUCUAUGAAUACAAAUCAUACUAUUGCUCCUCAUUCAUGACUCUUGCGCUAAAACUGAACAACAUCUCAGCAUGACUGUGUCAACACUGUGUUUGGAUUUGGUAUGUAUACUAUUUAUAGCCUCCCAAUGCCAAAGUAAAAUUCCACCCUUGAAAAAUGGAAGUUGUUCAGCAGGAUAUUACAAAUUAAAACAUGACUGUGUGAUGUGUGGGAGCGGUUUUUACACUGCCUUACCAAAUAAUCUAAAAUAUUGUUUAAGAUGUACGCCGUGUGAUUGGGAUGGUAAGUAACAUACCAGAAUGC
rnacentral:lncRNA from 1 species